UACGUAGGGUGCAAGCGUUGUCCGGAAUUAUUGGGCGUAAAGAGCGCGCAGGCGGUCGUUCAAGUCGCGUGUGAAAGCCCCCCGGCUCAACUGGGGAGGGUCACGCGAUACUGAUCGACUCGAAGGCAGGAGAGGGAAGUGGAAUUCCCGGUGUAGUGGUGAAAUGCGUAGAUAGUCGGGAGGAACACCAGUGGCGAAGGCGACUUCCUGGCCUGUUCUUGACGCUGAGGCGCGAAAGCUAGGGAGCAACGGG
rnacentral:rRNA from 1 species